rnacentral:misc_RNA from 1 species
AAUCAUGUCGCUUAAUUAAGAGCAUUUGAUGUAAUGAUCACCUGGAUCAUCUCCUCUUUUAUACAUAAAUGAUGUGAUUAAUUAGUAUCUAAUAAAAAACAAGUAAAUGAUAAAACAAUGGGGGCAAUGUCCAUGGAAGAGCAAAACCCUAAAAGGAAAUAUAAAUCCAAACCCAAUUAUUUUAAUAAGUUAAUAAAACAAUAAUUGAGUGUAAACACAGUCUCGGAGGAAAAAUUUUAAAAUAAAAUCAUUGUAUGUGUAAUAAUAAAUAAUUGAUUACUUAAAUCUUAUCAUAAUAAACGAUUAUAAUAUACCCGACGUACAUACAACAUUGUACUUACUAAUAACGCUAUAUAUAUUUUGAUGAUGCUUUAAAAACAUUAAGGUUAAUUAUUAUUUAUUCCAUCGAUAAUAUCAAAAUUAAUGAUUUAGUUCUCAUAUUUUCAUAAAUCUAUGAUUUAGUCCCUCAAAUGAUUUUGUAAGCUAUCUCGUUUCCCUGUUCAUUUUUGUCAAUUUAACAUACAAUCAAGAGACUAAAAGGUGGUCAAUGAACGAUAAAAUUAUUAAUAAUAAUAAAAAUUCUUUAGACACAAAAAUGUUUAUAAUAGUUAAAUGUUAAAGACAAAAGCGUUCAUCAUUAAUAGCAAAAAUUGAGAUGAAGAGACAAAAAUAUAAGAUAGAAUCAAAAUUUAAGAAUAUAUACUUUCAUUUAUUUUCUAAAAUGUAGGGAAUAAGUGUAAACUAUGACAUGACGUACGGACUAAUAAUAAUUUUCCUUCGUACGGACUAAAAAUAAUAAUUUUCCUAAAAUAUUAUCAUAUAUUAAUAGCAGACUCUAGUUAAGUUAUGUGGUGCAAAGCAAUAGGACGUGCCAGAGUAUAUAGGGAUGGAUGGUAGAUAGCACAAGCUUUUUAGAAAAAUAGCAUCAUAUUAUAUAUGAAUUAUUAAACUUGGAUGGUACAAAGGAUGGACUGUUAAAAACACACAUAUGUAUUUGCACAGAGAAAAAGGUCUGCUGCUAGGGUUUAUAUUUGUGUGAUCUGUAACUUAGUGAUUGAGGAAUAUUUGAAGGCAUUGAAAAGAAAAUCAACUUGAGCCAAGAAGUUGCAACAAUAGGAAAUAAAAUAUGAAUUAUAUACUAAGGAAUGACAUCACAUUUCUGAUGAAAACAUCAUUGGUACAUGUCUCAUAUUUUUUGUCUGCGAAUCUCUGCUAACCGACACAGUACUAGAAUAUUUCUUCAAUUUCUAUCUCUUCAGAAGAAUGAAAAGCUUACAUAACAUCUUAUCAAAGAACAAGAAACUAUAUAUCAAAGAAUAUUAUAUAGCAAGAUAGUAAUAAUUUUAAUUGAUCUAGCUAUAUAUAUAUAUUCUAUAAAAUUUAAUCAAAAAACCUGAAAUUUUCCUUUGGUAUUUAAGUUCAUAGCAAGUGUAAAACUAUGGUAUUUUAUGAAGAAGCUUGAUUUAGAAAAUAUAUAAGAGCAUACCUUUGGGGAUCUUAUCGUAUUUCCGCAUGGAAAAGCUUGGUGUGAGGAAUGAAGCCUGGUCCGAGAUCAAUCUAUGAAAUUAUCAAGUAUUUAUUUCCAAGAUCAAGAGUGAAAAAAAAUGGAAAAGGACAUGAACAUAAAUGUAAAAUUUUCAAGCUCUCUCUCUCUCUCUAGAGGCACACACAUAGAAAGAGAAGAAAGAAAGAAAAGAAUCUUGAAUCAACUUUUUAUCAGAAGCCCUCCCUUCUUCAAUCUCUCUCACAGACAUACACAGAGAGAGGAGAGAAGAGGAGAGGAUUUUGAAACUUUACAAGAAAAAUCUUCCUUCUUCAAUCUCUCUGUUCAUGCAACAACUAAUUAAACCAACACUAAGACUCAAAAUUAAACUCAAUCCCCAUCUUGAAACAAAAGAAAACAGACCAAAACCAAACAGGAAAGGAGAAACAAGGAUCUUGGAUCAAACUUCAUUCCAAACACCCCUUUUCCUUCUUCCAAGGAUUCUUGAGGUAGAGCUAGCUGGCUACCUCUUUAUUCUCAUGAUUCAACAAUCAAAACCCAUCAAGCAAGGCUGCAAAGUACUCAAGUUUUCAAAUGAUAUAUAUCAAAGUAUAGGUGAGACAAAGGGAGUAAAUGGAGGGAAGAGAAAAGAUAAACAAAGAGAUAAAUGAGGAAAAGCACAUGAUAGACAGGUCAUUUUAAGAGUAAAAUAAUGAAAAGGCUGGUAGGUUUUGGAGGGAUAAUGUUGUCUUCUUCUAAGGCUUUAUUAGAAGUGCCUUUGGAGGCUUUU